rnacentral:tRNA from 1 species
GUUGUCGUGGCCGAGCGGGUAAGGCGAUGGACUAGAAAUCCAUGGGGAAAUUUCCCACGUAGGUUCGAAUCCUGCCGACUACG